rnacentral:rRNA from 1 species
CUUCCGUAGGUGAACCUGCGGAAGGAUCAUUACUGUGAUUUAGUACUACACUGCGUGAGCGGAACGAAAACAACAACACCUAAAAUGUGGAAUAUAGCAUAUAGUCGACAAGAGAAAUCUACGAAAAACAAACAAAACUUUCAACAACGGAUCUCUUGGUUCUCGCAUCGAUGAAGAGCGCAGCGAAAUGCGAUACCUAGUGUGAAUUGCAGCCAUCGUGAAUCAUCGAGUUCUUGAACGCACAUUGCGCCCCUCGGCAUUCCGGGGGGCAUGCCUGUUUGAGCGUCGUUUCCAUCUUGCGCGUGCGCAGAGUUGGGGGAGCGGAGCGGACGACGUGUAAAGAGCGUCGGAGCUGCGACUCGCCUGAAAGGGAGCGAAGCUGGCCGAGCGAACUAGACUUUUUUUCAGGGACGCUUGGCGGCCGAGAGCGAGUGUUGCGAGACAACAAAAAGCUCGACCUCAAAUCAGGUAGGAAUACCCGCUGAACUUAAGCAUAUCAAUAAGGCGGAGGAA